UGGGGAAUUUUUGGACAAUGGGCGAAAGCCUGAUCCAGCAAUGCCGCGUGUGUGAAGAAGGCCUUCGGGUUGUAAAGCACUUUUGUCCGGAAAGAAAUCCUUGGCUCUAAUACAGUCGGGGGAUGACGGUACCGGAAGAAUAAGCACCGGCUAACUACGUGCCAGCAGCCGCGGUAAUACGUAGGGUGCAAGCGUUAAUCGGAAUUACUGGGCGUAAAGCGUGCGCAGGCGGUUUGCUAAGACCGAUGUGAAAUCCCCGGGCUCAACCUGGGAACUGCAUUGGUGACUGGCAGGCUAGAGUAUGGCAGAGGGGGGUAGAAUUCCACGUGUAGCAGUGAAAAUGCGUAGAGAUGUGGAGGAAUACCGAUGGCGAAGGCAGCCCCCUGGGCCAAUACUGACGCUCAUGCACGAAAGCGUGGGGAGCAAAACAGGAUUAGAUACCCUGGUAGUCCACGCCCUAAACGAUGUCAACUAGUUGUUGGGGAUUCAUUUCCUUAGUAACGUAGCUAACGCGUGAAGUUGACCGCCUGGGGAGUACGGUCGCAAGAUUAAAACUCAAAUGAAUUGACGGGGUCAUAGCUGUUUCCU
rnacentral:rRNA from 1 species